AUUAAUCAUUUCGGGCGUUCCUAUUAUAUUCCACUUAUUUAUUUACAUAUAUAUAUAUAUAAACAAUAAAUAUGUGGUUCCGCCUAUAUGUAAUAAUAAAUACAAUCUUUGUAGUGGACUAUAUUGCUAUAAAUUAAUAAUUAAGUUAUUAAUAAAUAAGACGAUUUUCGUCAUAUACCGAAACUCGUGGAAUUUAUUUCAGAUCUAUUAGAAAAUACUCUUGCAUGAUUAAUAAUUUUAGGUUCGCCCAACAAUUCAUGCAAGCAAAAAGUAUUACAAUGGUGGCUGUGGUAUGUUUAGUAUUGAAGCCAUUGUUAUCGCUUUGUUGUCCUAUAUACUUGCUUUAACCUUACGUCUUUUAAUUACACAACAAUGACUUAGUUACUGUAAGUCUGUUUUCAAAUGGAACAGCGCUUUACCCUAUUUACGAUCGUCUCUAUGUUUCGUUAGAUCUGAGAUAACUUCCACGGAAAGAACUGGUAUACACUUUUGUUUGCCGGUAAGGUUACCCAGAUAAAGUUGCAUGCUCUGUUUCUGUUUUGUGAAUUUUAAAAACCAG